rnacentral:lncRNA from 1 species
AGCAGCUCUCAGCACAAGGGGCAUUUUCCCACAACUCCUGCCCCAAAGCCGUGCUCCCUCUCCUCACGCUUUGUCCUCCUGCCUUCUGCCGGGAGCCCAAGUCGGGUUCUCCGCACGCUGAAGGCAUGCUGCAAACACAGCCGUGAUGCCUGGGGGGAGCUCCCUUUGCACCUUAGCAGAGGUGGGUCAGGGCCUCCAGCUCCAUCACGGCCUCACCCCUCCACUCUUCACCCCUCCAAACAACAUCCCUUUCCAACUAAAUGGUUCCUCCCUUGACCCAUCAGGAUUUUACCUGUCUUCUUAAACAGACGAACACUGAAGAGAAUUAAACCAAGUAUCAGCACUAACAGAGCCACCAGCAUCACUGCCAGAGCCACCUUCCAGGGACGGGCAUCAUGGAAGAAGGGAGCUAAGAAAGCAAAAGGAAAGGCUCGUUUUACACUUCAAGGCCUGAGGAAAACCCCAUGUUUCCCACAUGAUUAAAAACACAAGAAGAAAAGAAAAAAGAAAACCCGAAUACAGCAAAGUGCAGCUGGGUGCAGCUGUGCUCCAGGGCAGAGGAGGGCUCCAGCUGUUCCCAUGGGGUCCCUCUCCAUUGACCUCCUCUCUCUCUCUCACCACUCAGCACCACCGCUGCCAUUCAUCUCCCCUCCACACAGCUCCGAAGGGGACGUUCUCCCCCCACUCCCCGACUGACACUGCAGGGAACUCACCUGAUAUGUGCAGAGACGACUCCUUCUCUUGGCCAAGGCGGCUGUUCCUCACCACACACGACAAGUCCCCGUCUGCCUCCCCCGUCACACUCAGGCUCAGGCUCCGGGAACCAGCCGGACGAGCGACACACCACCUCGAUCCCUCUGCCCUGGUAACCCUCCAGCAAGACAAGCGGGGAAGAGCCUAUGGCUGGGAUGAAAAGAAGGUAUYCUGGGUUGAGGACCAAGAGCAUCCAGGUCAAAGGGGAAGUACUUUCCUAUGCUCUGUGUAGAUACCAUCCACAUCCCCGUCCAGCCAAGUCUGGAAGGGGCUGCAGGACCAGGCAUUCACACACCCAUGGUGAUACGCACACAAGAACCACCUGCUGUUGCAUCAGCACCUUCAGGUCCCUGCACAAAGUGCCAGCAGCCCUAAAUCUCCUGUCAUCCUCCACAGCAGAGGAAGACCAGGCUCAUGAGCUGUCAGCGUCCCAAGGCCCUCUCUGAGCACCCACACUUGUUUAGUUAACCUCAGACAUUUCCUGGCAAUGAGUCAGGUCUCCCAUUGCACAAAA